rnacentral:rRNA from 1 species
GUAGGGAAUAUUGCGCAAUGGACGAAAGUCUGACGCAGCGACGCCGCGUGAGUGAUGAAGGCCUUAGGGUCGUAAAGCUCUGUUGAAUGGGAAGAAAAAAAUGACGGUACCAUUCGAGGAAGGACCGGCUAACUUCGUGCCAGCAGCCGCGGUAAUACGAGGGGUCCUAGCGUUGUUCGGAAUCAUUGGGCGUAAAGGGUGUGUAGGUGGCCAUGUAAGUCAGGGGUGAAAGCCCCGGGCUCAACCCGGGAAGUGCACUUGAGAGUGCGUGGCUUGAGUACCGAAGAGGGUAGAGGAAUUCCAGGUGUAGUGGUGAAAUACGUAGAUAUCUGGAGGAACACCGGUGGCGAAGGCGGCUACCUGGUCGAGUACUGACACUGAGACACGAAAGCAUGGGGAUCAAACAGGAUUAGAAACCCUAGUAGUCC